CCAACAGGGAUUGCUCUAGUAACGGCGAGUGAAGCAGCAAUAGCUCAAAUUUGAAAUCUGGCGUCUUCGGCGUCCGAGUUGUAAUUUGUAGAGGAUGCUUCUGGGCAGCCACCGACCUAAGUUCCUUGGAACAGGACGUCAUAGAGGGUGAGAAUCCCGUAUGCGGUCGGAAAGGCACCCUACACGUAGCUCCUUCGACGAGUCGAGUUGUUUGGGAAUGCAGCUCUAAAUGGGAGGUAAAUUUCUUCUAAAGCUAAAUAUUGGCCAGAGACCGAUAGCGCACAAGUAGAGUGAUCGAAAGAUGAAAAGCACUUUGGAAAGAGAGUUAAAAAGCACGUGAAAUUGUUGAAAGGGAAGGGAUUGCAACCAGACUUGCUCGCGGUGUUCCGCCGGUCUUCUGACCGGUCUACUCGCCGCGUUGCAGGCCAGCAUCGUCUGGUGCCGCUGGAUAAGACUUGAGGAAUGUAGCUCCCUCGGGAGUGUUAUAGCCUCUUGUGAUGCAGCGAGCGCCGGGCGAGGUCCGCGCUUCGGCUAGGAUGCUGGCGUAAUGGUUGUAAUCCGCCC
rnacentral:rRNA from 2 species